rnacentral:rRNA from 1 species
GACGAACGCUGGCGGCGUGCUUAACACAUGCAAGUCGAACGGAAAGGCCCUGCUUUUGUGGGGUGCUCGAGUGGCGAACGGGUGAGUAACACGUGAGUAACCUGCCCUUGACUUUGGGAUAUCUUCAGGGAACUGGGGCUAAUACCGGAUAGGAGCUCCUGCUGCAUGGUGGGGGUUGGAAAGUUUCGGCGGUUUGGGAUGGACUCGCGGCUUAUCAGCUUGUUGGUCGGGUAGUGGCAUACCAAGGCUUUGACGGGUAGCCGGCCUGAGAGGGUGACCGGCGACAUUGGUCCUACGGUACGGCCCAGUAUGCAACCGGAGGCAGCAGUGGAGAAUAUUGCACAACGGGCCGAAGCCUGAUGCAGCAGCCCUGCGUGCGGGAUGCUGGGCUUCGGGUUGUGAACCGAUUUCGCCUGUGACGAAGCGUGAUUGACGGUAAUGGGUAAAGAAGCACCGGCUAACUACGUG